rnacentral:rRNA from 1 species
UACGUAGGGUGCAAGCGUUUGUCCGGAAUUAUUGGGCGUAAAGGGCUCGUAGGCGGCCAACUAAGUCACACGUGAAAUCCCCAGGCUUAACCUGGGAACUGCGUGUGAUACUGGAUGGCUUGAAUUCGGGAGAGGGAUGCAGAAUUCCAGGUGUAGCGGUGAAAUGCGUAGAUAUCUGGAGGAACACCGGUGGCGAAGGCGGCUUCCUGGACCGGUAUUGACGCUGAGGCGCGAAAGCCAGGGGAGCAAACGGG